GGGACACGUGGUAUCCUGUCUGAAUAUGGGGGGACCAUCCUCCAAGGCUAAAUACUCCUGACUGACCGAUAGUGAACCAGUACCGUGAGGGAAAGGCGAAAAGAACCCCGGCGAGGGGAGUGAAAAAGAACCUGAAACCGUGUACGUACAAGCAGUGGGAGCCUCUUUAUGGGGUGACUGCGUACCUUUUGUAUAAUGGGUCAGCGACUUAUAUUCUGUAGCAAGGUUAACCGUAUAGGGGAGCCGAAGGGAAACCGAGUCUUAACUGGGCGUUAAGUUGCAGGGUAUAGACCCGAAACCCGGUGAUCUAGCCAUGGGCAGGUUGAAGGUUGGGUAACACUAACUGGAGGACCGAACCGACUAAUGUUGAAAAAUUAGCGGAUGACCUGUGGCUGGGGGUGAAAGGCCAAUCAAACCGGGAGAUAGCUGGUUCUCCCCGAAAGCUAUUUAGGUAGCGCCUCGUGAAUUCAUCUUCGGGGGUAGAGCACUGUUUCGGCUAGGGGGCCAUCCCGGCUUACCAACCCGAUGCAAACUACGAAUACCGAAGAAUGUUAUCACGGGAGACACACGGCGGGUGCUAACGUCCGUCGUGAAGAGGGAAACAACCCAGACCGCCAGCUAAGGUCCCAAAGUCAUGGUUAAGUGGGAAACGAUGUGGGAAGGCACAGACAGCCAGGAUGUUGGCUUAGAAGCAGCCAUCAUUUAAAGAAAGCGUAAUAGCUCACUGGUCGAGUCGGCCUGCGCGGAAGAUGUAACGGGGCUAAACCAUGCACCGAAGCUGCGGCAGCGACACUAUG
rnacentral:rRNA from 1 species